GACGAACGCUGGCGGCGUGCUUAACACAUGCAAGUCGAACGGAAAGGCCCUGCUUUUGUGGGGUGCUCGAGUGGCGAACGGGUGAGUAACACGUGAGUAACCUGCCCUUGACUUUGGGAUAACUUCAGGAAACUGGGGCUAAUACCGGAUAGGAGCUCCUGCUGCAUGGGGGGGGUUGGAAAGUUUCGGCGGUUGGGGAUGGACUCGCGGCUUAUCAGCUUGUUGGUGGGGUAGUGGCUUACCAAGGCUUUGACGGGUAGCCGGCCUGAGAGGGUGACCGGGCACAUUGGGCCUGCGAUACGGCCCAGACUCCUACGGGAGGCAGCAGUGGGGAAUAUUGCACAAUGGGCGGACGCCUGAUGCAGCAACGCCGGGUGCGGGAUACCGGCCUUCGAGUUGUAAACAGAUUUCGCAUGUGCCGAAGCGUGAGUGACGGUAAUGGGUAAAGAAGCACCGGCUAACUACGUG
rnacentral:rRNA from 1 species